rfam:Desulfitibacter sp. BRH_c19 BRHa_1005141, whole genome shotgun sequence.
UAACUGGAGAGUUUGAUCCUGGCUCAGGACGAACGCUGGCGGCGUGCUUAACACAUGCAAGUCGAACGGACUGAUUAAGAAGAAUCCUUCGGGAGGACACUUAAGAAGUUAGUGGCGGACGGGUGAGUAACGCGUGGGUAACCUACCCAUUAAACCGGGACAACUCCGGGAAACUGGAGCUAAUACCGGAUAAGCUUACACUAUGGCAUCAUAGAGUAAGAAAAGGAGGCCUCUCUGUAGAAGCUUCCGAUAAUGGAUGGACCCGCGUCCCAUUAGCUAGUUGGUGAGGUAACGGCUCACCAAGGCGACGAUGGGUAGCCGGCCUGAGAGGGUGAACGGCCACACUGGGACUGAGACACGGCCCAGACUCCUACGGGAGGCAGCAG